rnacentral:rRNA from 1 species
GGGGAAUAUUGGACAAUGGGCGCAAGCCUGAUGCAGCCAUGCCGCGUGUGUGAAGAAGGCCUUCGGGUUGUAAAGCACUUUCAGUGGGGAGGAAGGNCAGUAGGUUAAUACCNUGUUGNAUUGACGUUACCCACAGAANAAGCACCGGCUAACUCCGUGCCAGCAGCCGCGGUAAUACGGAGGGUGCAAGCGUUAAUCGGAAUUACUGGGCGUAAAGCGCGCGUAGGUGGUUUGUUAAGUCGGAUGUGAAAUCCCCGGGCUCAACCUGGGAACUGCAUUUAAAACUGGCAAGCUAGAGUAUGGUAGAGGGGGGUGGAAUUCCAGGUGUAGCGGUGAAAUGCGUAGAGAUCUGGAGGAAUACCGGUGGCGAAGGCGGCCCCCUGGACAAAUACUGACGCUCAGGUGCGAAAGCGUGG